rnacentral:rRNA from 1 species
UCCACGCCCUAAACGAUGAGAACUAGCUGCUGGUUACGUAAAUGUAGUCAGUAGCGAAGCUAACGCGUUAAGUUCUCCGCCUGGGGAGUACGACCGCAAGGUUGAAACUCAAAAGGAAUUGACGGGGGCCCGCACAAGCGGUGGAGCAUGUGGUUUAAUUCGAUGCAACGCGAAGAACCUUACCAUCCCUUGACAUCCUCAGAAUUUGUCGUAAUGACUUAGUGCCUUCGGGA